rnacentral:rRNA from 1 species
CAGUCGCCACGGUAAUACGAAGGGUGCGAGCGUUAAUCGGAAUUACUGGGCGUAAAGCGUGCGUAGGCGGUGAGUUAAGUCUGCUGUGAAAUCCCCGGGCUCAACCUGGGAAUGGCAGUGGAUACUGGCUCGCUAGAGUGUGUCAGAGGAUGGUGGAAUUCCCGGUGUAGCGGUGAAAUGCGUAGAGAUCGGGAGGAACAUCAGUGGCGAAGGCGGCCAUCUGGGACAACACUGACGCUGAGGCACGAAAGCGUGGGGAGCAAACAGGAUUAGAUACCCCCGUAGUCCCUGUCUCUUAUAA